rnacentral:rRNA from 1 species
UACGUAGGGGCAAGCGUUGUCCGGAAUCAUUGGGCGUAAAGCGCGUGUAGGCGGUUACGUAAGUCUGCUGUGAAAGUCGGAGGCUCAACCUUCGAAAGCCGGUGGAUACUGCGUGACUAGAGUACGGAAGAGGAGAGUGGAAUUCCUGGUGUAGCGGUGAAAUGCGCAGAUAUCAGGAGGAACACCAACGGCGAAGGCAGCUCUCUGGGACGUUACUGACGCUGAGACGCGAAAGCGUGGGGAGCAAACAGG